GCCUAAAGUACAAAUAUGCAGAACGUUCUUGUAUCGGCUUGCAUACUUUAGUUUCGGUACACCUCAAGAUGGCGCAAAACAUCUUAGCAUGUUCGCCAAGUAAGGUACGUUAUUGUUACGAGAUCAUGGAGUAUGUACGCUUAGCAUGUACGCCAAGUAAGGCACGUUAUUGUUGCUAGAUCAUGCAGUAUGUACGCUUAGCAUGUACGCUAAGUAAGGUACGUUAUUGUUGCUAGAUCAUGGAGUAUGUACGCUUAGCAUGUACGCCAAGUAAGGUACGUUAUUGUUGCUAGAUCAUGGAGUAUGUACGCUUAGCAUGUACGCCAAGUAAGGUACGUUAUUGUUGCUAGAUCAUGGAGUAUGUACGCUUAGCAUGUACGCCAAGUAAGGUACGUUAUUGUUGCUAGAUCAUGGAGUAUGUACGCUUAGCAUGUACGCCAAGUAAGGUACGUUAUUGUUGCUAGAUCAUGGAGUAUGUACGCUUAGCAUGUACGCCAAGUAAGGUACGUUAUUGUUGCUAGAUCAUGGAGUAUGUACGCUUAGCAUGUACGCCAAGUAAGGUACGUUAUUGUUGCUAGAUCAUGGAGUAUGUACGCUUAGCAUGUACGCCAAGUAAGACACGUUAUUGUUGCUAGAUCAUGGAGUAUGUACGCUUAGCAUGUACGCCAAGUAAGGUACGUUAUUGUUGCUAGAUCAUGCAGUAUGUACGCCAAGUAAGGUACGUUAUUGUUGCUAGAUCAUGGAGUAAUGUAGGCAUAGCAUGUACGCCAAGUAAGGUACGUUAUUGUUGCUAGAUCAUGCAGUAUGUACGCUUAGCAUGUACGCCAAGUAAGGUACGUUAUUGUUGCUAGAUCAUGCAGUAUGUACGCCAAGUAAGGUACGUUAUUGUUGCAAGAUCAUGGAGUAUGUAAGCAUAGCAUGUACGCUAAGUAAGGUACGUUAUUGUUGCUAGAUCAUGCAGUAUGUACGCCAAGUAAGGUACGUUAUUAUUGCUAGAUCAUGGAGUAUGUACGCUUAGCAUGUACGCCAAGUAAGGUACGUUAUUGUUGCUAGAUCAUGGAGUAUGUACGCUUAGCAUGUACGCCAAGUAAGGUACGUUAUUGUUGCUAGAUCAUGGAGUAUGUACGCCAAGUAAGGUACGUUAUUGUUGCAAGAUCAUGGAGUAUGUAGGCAUAGCAUGUACGCUAAGUAAGGUACGUUAUUGUUGCUAGAUCAUGGAGUAUGUACGCUAAGUAAGGUACGUUAUUGUUGCUAGAUCAUGGAGUAUGUACGCUUAGCAUGUUCGCCAAGUAAGGUACGUUAUUGUUGCUAGAUCAUGGAGUAUGUACGCUUAGCAUGUACGCCAAGUAAGGUACGUUAUUAUUGCUAGAUCAUGGAGUAUGUACGCUUAGCAUGUACGCCAAGUAAGGUACGUUAUUGUUGCUAGAUCAUGGAGUAUGUACGCUUAGCAUGUACGCCAAGUAAGGUACGUUAUUGUUGCCAGAUCAUGGAGUAUGUACGCUUAGCAUGUUCGCCAAGUAAGGUACGUUAUUGUUGCUAGAUCAUGGAGUAUGUACGCUUAGCAUGUACGCUAAGUAGUGCCCCCUGCAUCAAACAGCACCAAUAACAGCCACCUUACUGGCACCGCCGACCACAAGGCAAAGAAAAUGCUGGCGAAAGUCUGACUUCAAUCAAAAUCUCCCAAACACUCGCCAGCACCAGCCAGCAACUCCCAACACAGUGUUCGAACUGCGCCAGCAUUCUUUGUCCAGCGUCUGGCCAGCUAGACACGAUAUGACAAGACCGACACGGCGCACAAUUAGUGUGGGCAUUAUUUGACAAGGUAAAGAACCAAACGGCGCGUAAUCAGUCAUGUGGACACGAUAUGAAAAGGUAAAGAACCAAACGGCGCGUAAUCAGUCAUGUGGACACGAUACGACAAGGUAAAGCACCAAACGGCGCGUAAUCAGUCAUGUGGACACGAUACGACAAGGUAAAGAACCAAACGGCGCGUAAUCAGUCAUGUGGACACGAUACGACAAGGUAAAGAACCAAACGACGCGUAAUCAGUCAUGUGGACACGAUACGACAAGGUAAAGAACCAAACGGCGCGUAAUCAGUCAUGUCGACACGAUACGACAAGGUAAAGAACCAAACGGUGCGUAAUCAGUCAUGUGGACACGAUACGACAAGGUAAAGAACCAAACGGCGCGUAAUCAGUCAUGUGGACACGAUAUGACAAGGUAAAGAACCAAACGGCGCGUAAUCAGUCAUGUGGACACGAUAUGACAAGGUAAAGAACCAAACGGCGCGUAAUCAGUCAUGUGGACACGAUACGACAAGGUAAAGAACCAAACGGCGCGUAAUCAGUCAUGUGGACACGAUACGACAAGGUAAAGAAACAAACGGCGCGUAAUCAGUCAUGUGGACACGAUACGACAAGGUAAAGAACCAAACGGCGCGUAAUCAGUCAUGUGGAUACGAAACGACAAGGUAAAGAACCAAACGGCGCGUAAUCAGUCAUGUGGACACGAUACGACAAGGCAAAGAACCAAACGGCGCGUAAUCAGUCAUGUGGACACGAUACGACAAGGUAAAGAACAAAACGGCGCGUAAUCAGUCAUGUGGACACGAUAUAAAAAGGUAAAGAACCAAACGGCGCGUAAUCAGUCAUGUGGACACUAUUUGACAAGGUAAAGAACCAAACGGCGCGUAAUCAGUCAUGUGGACACGAUAUGACAAGGUAAAGCACCAAACGGCGCGUAAUUAGUCACGUGGACACGAUAUGACAAGGUAAAGAACCAAACGGCGCGUAAUCAGUCAUGUGGACACGAUACGACAAGGUAAAGAACCAAACACAUGAAAUAAUUACCUUAACCUGCUUGAUUUCUUCUUUAAGCUUGGUGACGGUUGUCUCGGCUCGAAGGGCUCUUUGCUGUAAAGAAGACGAACUUCAGCUAUAACAGUCAUAGUCUAUUUAUCACUAGCAUUCUCCUCAAUCGCCUACCGUGGAAUCAUUUAAAGAUGGAAAACGUGCUCAGAUGGUCUCACUACCUGCUCUUUUACCUUGUCUGUCUGCCUGCAAUUUCUCUUUGAUCUUGCGCCUGGUCUCAUUACCUGGUCCCACUACCUGGUCUUGUGCCACUACUUGGUCUAGUGCCUGGUCUCAUUACCUGGUCUUGUGCCUGGUCUAACUACUUGGUCUUGUGCCUGAUUCCACUACCUGGGGGUCGUUUCUCCAAACUCCCGGUAAUUACCGGGCCCGUUAGGGUACCGGGAGAGUUUUCGGGAUACUUUUCGGGGCGAGGAAGAGCGUUUCUCAAAACAAGCGGUAGCGUCCCGGUUGUUUCCGAUAAGCAAAUUAUAAUUUUCAGAGUUAAUGAAUAGAUUGGCUAAAUAAUUAUUGAAUAUUAAUAAAAAUCGUAGAUUUGUCGAUGUCUGUAGACAACUGGUACCCCAAACACUGCUGUGGCAUCGGCACUUUUCGAAAAAAAGACAGAGUAGAUAAAGUAGAUAAAGUCUCAUGUAGCAAACUUCCAAUACCUUCGCAAAGUUGUUUACAUUUUUUAGACGCACGGUGACAGCUAGAUGUCAAAUCAUUUCACAGAAAAGAAACCUGAUUGGCUGGUAGGGGAUUCCAUAAAUUGAUGUUAGCCGUGAUUGGCCCACUUUUUUCCGGGCAGUGAUAUGGUUUCCUCAAGUGAUGAAAAUUCACUACAACUCGACACAACUUGAAAAUGGCGAGAUUUAAUAGGAAAAAAAGCACCAAAUUGGAUAGCUCAAGUUGGCCAAUUCUAGAUGAAUAGUAGAUCUACAAAUUCAGCUGAAAAUAUUAAGGAAAAACAUCGUUUUGGGUAUCAACUAUCGCAUUAAAAGCAAUUCCCGGUAAGUUACCGGGCGAGCUUUUUCCGGGCCCGACAAUAACGGGCGUUUUGAGAAACACCCGUAAAGUUUAUCGGGGGCUUACCGGGUGACUUUCCGGGUUUCCACGUUUAUCGGGACUUUUGAAAAACGACCCCCUGGUCUUGUGCCUGGUGUCACUACCUGGUCUUGUGCCUGAUGUCACUACCUGGUCUUGUGCCUGGUGUCACUACCUGGUCUUGUGCCUGGUGUCACUACCUGGUCUUGUGCCUGAUGUCACUACCUGGUCUUGUGCCUGGUGUCACUACCUGGUCUUGUGCCUGGUGUCAUUACCUGGUCUUGUGCCUGGUGUCACCACCUGGUCUUGUGCCUGAUGUCAUUACCUGGUCUUGUGCCUGGUGUCACUACCUGGUCUUGUGCCUGGUGUCACUACCUGGUCUUGUGCCUGGUGUCACUACCUGGUCUUGUGCCUGAUCUCAUUACCUGGUCUUGUGCCUGAUGCCAUUACCUGGUUUUGUGCCUGAUAUCACUACCUGGUCUUGUGCCUGGUGUCACUACCUGGUCUUGUGCCUGAUGCCAUUACCUGGUCUUGUGCCUGGUAUCAUUACCUGGUCUUGUGCCUGAUAUCACUACCUGGUCUUGUGCCUGGUGUCACUACCUGGUCUUGUGCCUGGUAUCAUUACCUGGUCUUGUGCCUGAUGCCAUUACCUGGUCUUGUGCCUGGUAUCAUUACCUGGUCUUGUGCCUGGUGCCAUUACCUGGUCUUGUGCCUGGUGUCACUACCUGGUCUUGUGCCUGAUCUCAUUACCUGGUCUUGUGCCUGAUGCCAUUACCUGGUCUUGUGCCUGAUAUCACUACCUGGUCUUGUGCCUGGUGUCACUACCUGGUCUUGUGCCUGAUGCCAUUACCUGGUCUUGUGCCUGGUAUCAUUACCUGGUCUUGUGCCUGAUAUCACUACCUGGUCUUGUGCCUGGUGUCACUACCUGGUCUUGUGCCUGGUGUCAAUACCUGGUCUUGUGCCUGAUCUCAUUACCUGGUCUUGUGCCUGGUGUCACUACCUGGUCUUGUGCCUGAUGCCAUUACCUGGUCUAAUGCCUGAUGCCAUUACCUGGUCUUGUGCCUGUGUCGAUACCUGGUCUUGUGCCUGUGUCGAUACCUGGUCUAAUGCCUGGUCUCAGUACCUGGUCUUGUGCUUGGUGUCAUUACCUGGUCUUGUGCCUGAUGUCAUUACCUGGUCUUGUGCCUGAUGUCAUUACCUGGUCUUGUGCCUGGUGUCACCACCUGGUCUUGUGCCUGAUCUCAUUACCUGGUCUUGUGCCUGGUGUCACUACCUGGUCUUGUGCCUGGUGUCACUACCUGGUCUUGUGCCUGAUGUCAUUACCUGGUCUUGUGCCUGGUGUCAUUACCUGGUCUUGUGCCUGAUGCCACUACCUGGUCUUGUGCCUGGUGUCAUUACCUGGUCUUGUGCCUGGUCUCUUUACCUGGUCUUGUGUCUGGUGUCACCACCUGGUCUUGUGCCUGGUAUCACUACCUGGACUUGUGCCUGGUCAACCUUCCUGGUCUUGUGCCUGGUCAAUCUUCCUGGUAUUGUACCUGGUCUCAUUACCUGUUCUUGUGCCUGGUCUGACUACCUGGUCUUGUGCCUGGUCAAUCUUCCUAGUCUUGUACGUGGUCUAGCUUCCUGGUCUUGUGUCUGGUCUAACUUCCUGGUCUUGUACGUGGUCUAACUUCCUGGUCCUGUGCCUGGUCUAGCUUCCUGGUAUUGUGCCUGGUCUCAUUACCUGGUUUUGUGCCUGGUCUUACUACCUGGUAUUUUGCCUUGUCUACCUUGCUGGUCUGGUCUUGUACCUGGUCUCAUUACCUGGUCUCGUUCCUGGUCUUGUGCCUAGUCCACUUUCCUAAUUUUGUGCCUCGUCUCACUGCCUGGUCUGUCUGAUUUUGUGCCUGCCCUCACUGCCUGGCUAGUGUGUCAUAUAGUAUACCUUCGUAUCGUAAGUAUGCGGAUCCCAUACCUGGUUUAGUUCCUCUAUUAGUACAAGCUGUGAGUGCGAGCUCUCGGCUGGUGCCACAAAGUAAUUGACAGAUCCUGACUUGGGCGAGUGAUUGUGGGCGGAGUCAUGUCUGUCAGCCUCAGCCUCGUCAUCAGAUGAUUCAGAUCCGGACCCAGGAGGGGUGAAGCCAAACAAGUACUGUGAGUUAUCAUCGUUGUGAGUUCCUUGUGUAGGUGUUGGUUUAAUUUCGUGGACUUCAUCGCCAAUUAUCUGUGGGUUUAUGGAAAAAGGCAUCAUACAAAACUUAAAGAGUCCCUGCCAGAUGCCAAAUGCAAAAUGUGAGAGCAUCUAUUUCGACUGCCUAAAUUGUGGAAGCUGUCGCAAUUUCUUAAUAGAAUAAUAAUAAUAAUAAUAAUAAUCGUUUAUUCAUACUUUUGUAGCAUAAGCUAAAUUACAGUAUGUCGGCCGAUGCACACUACACUUAACAAUGUAUAAA